GGUCCCAUCGUCUAGUGGCCCAGGACGCGGCCCUCUCAAGGCUGAAACACGGGUUCGACUCCCGUUGGGACCACCA
rnacentral:tRNA from 2 species